AGAUUGGGAACGUGACUUCCAUCACUGGGAAACACUGUUAAAGCACAGUUUAAGGAUGUUGGAGCUUGGUGAUGCUAACCCGGUUGGUGAAAGUGAUCUGGCUUCCCAACCCACGUCCAGGACUGAGCCUCUGGGAGAUGCUGAGGUGAUGGACCAAAAGGCAGGGCUGAAGGAGGUGUUUCCCCAAGGAAGCAGGGGCUCAUUGGCAGCCCCUGCUGCAGGGAGGAAGGCGAUGGCAGACACGGGCACAGGCACAGCAG